UACGAAGGGGGCUAGCGUUGCUCGGAAUUACUGGGCGUAAAGCGCGUGUAGGCGGUCCGGUAAGUCCGCUGUGAAAGUCGAGGGCUCAACCCUCGAAUGCCGGUGGAUACUGUCGGGCUAGAGUGCGGAAGAGGCGAGUGGAAUUCCUGGUGUAGCGGUGAAAUGCGCAGAUAUCAGGAGGAACACCUAUUGCGAAGGCAGCUCGCUGGGACGUUACUGACGCUGAGACGCGAAAGCGUGGGGAGCAAACAGG
rnacentral:rRNA from 1 species